AUUGAACGCUGGCGGCAGGCCUAACACAUGCAAGUCGAGCGGAUGAAGGGAGCUUGCUCCUGGAUUCAGCGGCGGACGGGUGAGUAAUGCCUAGGAAUCUGCCUGGUAGUGGGGGAUAACGUCCGGAAACGGGCGCUAAUACCGCAUACGUCCUGAGGGAGAAAGUGGGGGAUCUUCGGGCCUCACGCUAUCAGAUGAGCCUAGGUCGGAUUAGCUAGUUGGUGGGGUAAAGGCCUACCAAGGCGACGAUCCGUAACUGGUCUGAGAGGAUGAUCAGUCACACUGGAACUGAGACACGGUCCAGACUCCUACGGGAGGCAGCAGUGGGGAAUAUUGGACAAUGGGCGAAAGCCUGAUCCAGCCAUGCCGCGUGUGUGAAGAAGGUCUUCGGAUUGUAAAGCACUUUAAGUUGGGAGGAAGGGCAGUAAGUUAAUACCUCGCUGUUUUGACGUUACCAACAGAAUAAGCACCGGCUAACUUCGUG
rnacentral:rRNA from 1 species